AAUAAGGUGCCUGAAAAAAGGAACAUUUUGAUGUAAUGUAAAAAGUGAAAAAUUCACCCUUAUUA
rnacentral:tRNA from 1 species